rnacentral:rRNA from 1 species
GACGAACGCUGGCGGCGUGCCUAAUACAUGCAAGUUGAGCGCUGAAGGUUGGUACUUGUACCGACUGGAUGAGCAGCGAACGGGUGAGUAACGCGUGGGGAAUCUGCCUUUGAGCGGGGGACAACAUUUGGAAACGAAUGCUAAUACCGCAUAAAAACUUUAAACACAAGUUUUAAGUUUGAAAGAUGCAAUUGCAUCACUCAAAGAUGAUCCCGCGUUGUAUUAGCUAGUUGGUGAGGUAAAGGCUCACCAAGGCGAUGAUACAUAGCCGACCUGGGAGGGUGAUCGGCCACAUUGGGACUGAGAAACGGCCCAAACUCCUACGGGAGGCAGCAGUAGGGAAUCUUCGGCAAUGGACGAAAGUCUGACCGAGCAACGCCGCGUGAGUGAAGAAGGUUUUCGGAUCGUAAAACUCUGUUGGUAGAGAAGAACGUUGGUGAGAGUGGAAAGCUCAUCAAGUGACGGUAACUACCCAGAAAGGGACGGCUAACUACGUGCCAGCAGCCGCCGUAA